rnacentral:tRNA from 1 species
GGUGGCUCAGCGGUAGAGCGCUUGCCUCCAAUGCAUGAGGCCCUGGGUUCAAUUCCUCAGCACCA